UACGUAGGGGGGCAAGCGUUGUCCGGAUUUAUUGGGCGUAAAGAGCGUGUAGGCGGCUUUACAGGUCCGUUGUGAAAACUCGAGGCUCAACCUCGAGACGCCGGUGGAAACCGUAAAGCUAGAGUCCGGAAGAGGAGAGUGGAAUUCCUGGUGUAGCGGUGAAAUGCGCAGAUAUCAGGAGGAACACCCGUGGCGAAAGCGGCUCCCUGGGACGGUACUGACGCUGAGACGCGAAAGCGUGGGGAGCAAACAGG
rnacentral:rRNA from 1 species